AAGAACAGGGCUAAGACUGGUUUGCAAAGAUCAGGAAAGAUCUAGGGGGUUUUAUGGGAAACUCGCAAGACACAAGAAAUAAGAUAAAAAUUAAAGGAGUUCUUAGGGGCCUAUGCGCAAAAGCUCAAAGAGCUUCAGUGGCCGGCGGACGGAGCUCCUGGUCGGCAAAAUGGGCGGCGCUCCGAGCGAUGAUGGGCUCAGCCGAGGCGGGGAAAACGGAGAGGAGUU
rnacentral:lncRNA from 1 species